rnacentral:rRNA from 1 species
AUUGAACGCUGGCGGCAGGCCUAACACAUGCAAGUCGAACGGUAACAGGAAGAAGCUUGCUUCUUUGCUGACGAGUGGCGGACGGGUGAGUAAUGUCUGGGAAACUGCCUGAUGGAGGGGGAUAACUACUGGAAACGGUAGCUAAUACCGCAUAACGUCGCAAGACCAAAAAGGGGGACCUUCGGGCCUCUUGCCAUCGGAUGUGCCCAGAUGGGAUUAGCUAGUAGGUGGGGUAACGGCUCACCUAGGCGACGAUCCCUAGCUGGUCUGAGAGGAUGACCAGCCACACUGGAACUGAGACACGGUCCAGACUCCUACGGGAGGCAGCAGUGGGGAAUAUUGCACAAUGGGCGCAAGCCUGAUGCAGCCAUGCCGCGUGUAUGAAGAAGGCCUUCGGGUUGUAAAGUACUUUCAGCGGGGAGGAAGGGAGUAAAGUUAAUACCUUUGCUCAUUGACGUUACCCGCGGAAGAAGCACCGGCUAACUCCGUG